ensembl:snRNA U6 U6 spliceosomal RNA
GUGCUCGCUUUGGCAACACAUAUGCUAAAAUUGGAACAAAACAGAGAAGAUUAGCAUGGCUCCUGCACAAGGUUGACACGCAAAGAGCUCACACAUGUGU